rnacentral:misc_RNA from 1 species
UCGGCGGCUUGGUGAAGCGUUUCCUUCCACCACCUCAUCGAAUUGCGGCCCUCAUUGAUCAUAUCAGCAUCGAUGGAUAUCGGCGCGCUCGGCGGCAGCGCUGCGUCGGUCGCUGCUAUGGAGAUGAUCCUGGCGUNNNGCCGGAAGAUGGAGACGCAUAUCGAGUGCGAAGGCUUCCUGAAUGUGCUGCUGGUAUGCGC